rnacentral:rRNA from 1 species
AUUGAACGCUGGCGGCAUGCCUUACACACGCAAGUCGAACGGUAACAGGUCUUCGGAUGCUGACGAGUGGCGAACGAGUGAGUAAUACAUCGGAACGUGCCUAGUAGUGGGGGAUAACUACUCGAAAGAGUGGCUAAUACCGCAUGAGAUCUACGGAUGAAAGCAGGGGAUCGCAAGACCUUGUGCUACUAGAGCGGCCGAUGGCAGAUUAGGUAGUUGGUGGGAUAAAAGCUUACCAAGCCGACGAUCUGUAACUGGUCUGAGAGGACGAUCAGCCACACUGGGACUGAGACACGGCCCAGACUCCUACGGGAGGCAGCAGUGGGGAAUUUUGGACAAUGGGCGCAAGCCUGAUCCAGCAAUGCCGCGUGCAGGAUGAAGGCCUUCGGGUCGUAAACUGCUUUUGUACGGAACGAAAAGCCCCGGGUUAAUACCCUGGGGUCAUGACGGUACCGUAAGAAUAAGCACCGGCUAACUACGUGCCAGCAGCCGCGGUAA